UUUCCAUCAACUGGACAGAGUCAGGGUGGCCAUGAAGGAGAGGUGACACAUUAGAAAGGAACAGUUUCCCAUUGAAAUGGUACAUCUUGACUGCGCCUUUGCCUGUGUAUUGGCAAAAAUCCCCACUACUUCUACAAGAUGGAAUGGUGGAGAAACCAGGAAAUUUCUUUUGCACAGCUCCAAGGUGAUCUUGGCACCUGACCACGAGGAAGUGGACAAGGCUCUUGCAACCGGAAUCAGUUUUUCACGGGAGAUGUUAAAUCGAGCUGGAUUGUACCAUGUCUGUCGUCAGACCUUCCCGAAGCCUCUACACAGGUGCCUCCUGGCUACUUCCUGCAUCAACAAAACCACAGAAGGUCAGUUUAUUCAGAAUAAAGAUGGUUCAUUUCUGGGGGUAGAGGUUUGUAGGGAUGUUACUAGGAGGAGUGUAGCACAAGUCCCAGGUGAGCCUGAACUGAGUGCAGUUUAGGACCCUUGCACAGGGCGACCAAAGGCAGAUUUUUUUUUUUUAUACAAGCAAACCUCCCAGGGAAACAACCAUGGAGAAGGAAAGCUGGCACAUGGGUGAACCAACACUAUCACAGGUAUAGGUGAGAAAGAGCCGCUGUUAUGUCUGUCACUCAGCAUGUCGCUUAGCCUCAGAGGACACAAGACCAAACACAGGAGAAAAUCAGGCAUUACUUGGAAGAGAAGUAUUUUCUCAGAGUCUGAAAAACGGAGAGCUCAGUAUUCUUAUAAUGGAGCAUGAGUGGGGACUGUCCCCUACCUGUACAGAAAAGUGACAGCCCAGCCUAGUUGUCUACUGGAGGCAUGCAGCACAGGGCGGCCUCCAUAGCACCUGCAACCUUGGACCUCACAGAGGGCUUUAACCCAGCAAGACUCUCAUAUAGUGCACACUCAAUCAUCAUUGUCAGGGCUUGUGCCAGAGCGACAAGGAAGGGACCUCCAUGAGAUCUGAUAAGCCUGAAGCUUGAGUAUCACACUUCAACACAAAAGACAGAAAUAAAAAUGGCAAUAAUUGUGUGGCA
rnacentral:lncRNA from 1 species